GCCCAGGUGUCGAAAUUGGCAAACGAUGCGGACUCAAAAUCCGCUGGUAGGAAUACCUUGAGGGUUCGACUCCCUCCCUGGGCA
rfam:Parcubacteria group bacterium RIFCSPHIGHO2_01_FTLL_47_10b rifcsphigho2_01_scaffold_18788, whole genome shotgun sequence.